AGUGACAGACUGAUGACCUACCUGUUUGGUGGACAGCCUCAGGUGACCUCCAGAGCCAAGCCUUCCAUAAUGCAAGAGCUCUUGAAGAGAAAUCAAUCAAAGUAUGAAGAAAAUGGAUUUGUGUUCUCAUCUUCAGAGGCGGGCAUUUCUCUAAAACCCUCCAUGAUUUAAUCACUGGUAGUAAGCCUGUGAGCACACACACACACACACACACACACACGUUUGUGAGUGCUGGGUAGGGUGAUCCAGGGUGCUCAAUGACCUGAAAUUCAAAUGUCACCUCUUCUUGUGGCUGCCUUGCCUUAAAUGGAUUUCCUAACCUCUCUG
rnacentral:lncRNA from 1 species